ACAAAUCGUUGACGUCACCUUCCAAAAAGAAAGGGGCGAAAAAAGGCUUGGUGGCAUGCGCUGGGGUGAAUGGGGCUUUAGAAAUUGCUCCAGAAGCGCGCAUGACACAAGCAACGUUAAUAUGAUUUCUUUGAUGUGGGGAGUCCGCCCCAAUACGACAGAACGCCCGCAGGUUGCAAGUCUGUGAACCCUUGUUUUUGGUGUCCAGUUCCUGCUAUUGGGUAUAUUAUAUAGCGAGCAGACUGUGUGCUCAGUGUGUUUCUACAGCCGACCACGCGGGAAAACGUCUGCUGUCGAAUUGCCAAACGGUUAGUGAAGCAUGGGACCUUUUGCCAGAAAGGAGCAUUGCCGACAUGACGUCUUAAAGGGGGAUGAACGCUCUGUCGGUGACCGAAAACAAGCUGUGAAAACCUAUAUUACGUUUGGCAUUUUAGAGUUGCCGCUUCUGUGUUCCCAAGCAGCUGCCCUUCCUCUGCGGCCAAGCCGGACGAAUCAAGCAGAAGCCGCUGGCGGUCUGUUGCAUAUCAUCAUCCAUGGGGAAAGGCCAGUCACUCCAAUAAAAGUCAAGAAUACGUGCUUUCCUCAAUGUAUUGGAAACGAAAAAUUUUUUGCCGAGUUUUUCCGCGUUUCGACAGAGGAACUCAGGAUUGGGCAACGCGAGUACAGUUGGCCCAUAUAAGUUCAUCCUUGUUUUGGUUUACUUUUCACAUGCUGAAACAUGGACAGGUGCAUAUUGCACUAAUCCUCUGAAACAUUGCGUUGCUCAGGGCGAUUCGUUAACUGUCCAGGUGUAAUGUGUGGCUGCCACCCGAAGUAGUAUGAUGUUACAUGUGUACUCUCUGUUUGCACUUCUGUGAGACCCGCUAGUGUGCCACUCCGAGAAGAACAUGAGGUUCGUGAUUAUUCCUAGUAAUUCCAGGAUCCGCCAUAAUUGUGGAGCUGAUAGGGAG
rnacentral:lncRNA from 1 species